UCCAGGCAAAUCCGGAUAAUCAAGGCUGAGGUGUGAUGACGAGGCACUACGGUGCUGAAGUAACAAAUGCCCUGCUUCCAGGAAAAGCCUCUAAGCAUCAGGUAACAUCAAAUCGUACCCCAAACCGACACAGGUGGUCAGGUAGAGAAUACCAAGGCGCUUGAGAGAACUCGGGUGAAGGAACUAGGCAAAAUGGUGCCGUAACUUCGGGAGAAGGCACGCUGGUGUGUAGGUGAAGUCCCUGCGGAUGGAGCUGAGACCAGUCGAAGAUACCAGCUGGCUGCAACUGUUUAUUAAAAACACAGCACUGUGCAAACACGAAAGUGGACGUAUACGGUGUGACGCCUGCCCGGUGCCGGAAGGUUAAUUGAUGGGGUUAUCCGUAAGGAGAAGCUCUUGAUCGAAGCCCCGGUAAACGGCGGCCGUAACUAUAACGGUCCUAAGGUAGCGAAAUUCCUUGUCGGGUAAGUUCCGACCUGCACGAAUGGCGUAAUGAUGGCCAGGCUGUCUCCACCCGAGACUCAGUGAAAUUGAACUCGCUGUGAAGAUGCAGUGUACCCGCGGCAAGACGGAAAGACCCCGUGAACCUUUACUAUAGCUUGACACUGAACAUUGAGCCUUGAUGUGUAGGAUAGGUGGGAGGCUUUGAAGCGUGGACGCCAGUCUGCGUGGAGCCAACCUUGAAAUACCACCCUUUAAUGUUUGAUGUUCUAACGUUGGCCCCUUACCGGGGUUGCGGACAGUGUCUGGUGGGUAGUUUGACUGGGGCGGUCUCCUCCCAAAGCGUAACGGAGGAGCACGAAGGUUAGCUAAUCCUGGUCGGACAUCAGGAGGUUAGUGCAAUGGCAUAAGCUAGCUUGACUGCGAGCGUGACGGCGCGAGCAGGUGCGAAAGCAGGUCAUAGUGAUCCGGUGGUUCUGAAUGGAAGGGCCAUCGCUCAACGGAUAAAAGGUACUCCGGGGAUAACAGGCUGAUACCGCCCAAGAGUUCAUAUCGACGGCGGUGUUUGGCACCUCGAUGUCGGCUCAUCACAUCCUGGGGCUGAAGUAGGUCCCAAGGGUAUGGCUGUUCGCCAUUUAAAGUGGUACGCGAGCUGGGUUUAGAACGUCGUGAGACAGUUCGGUCCCUAUCUGCCGUGGGCGCUGGAGAAUUGAGGGGGGCUGCUCCUAGUACGAGAGGACCGGAGUGGACGCAUCACUGGUGUUCGGGUUGUCAUGCCAAUGGCACUGCCCGGUAGCUAAAUGCGGAAGAGAUAAGUGCUGAAAGCAUCUAAGCACGAAACUUGCCCCGAGAUGAGUUCUCCCUGAGACUUUAAGUCUCCUGAAGGAACGUUGAAGACGACGACGUUGAUAGGCCGGGUGUGUAAGCGCAGCGAUGCGUUGAGCUAACCGGUACUAAUGAACCGUGAGGCUUAACC
rnacentral:rRNA from 1 species